ensembl:lncRNA
AGCUUUUCUUGAUUCUCUUCACAUCUUCUGCUUCCCAAUGUGUGUGUGUGCAAGCUCUGUAGGCAAAUGAAGAAUAGUCAUCUGGCAGAAUCAGCAAGUCAUUGGGCCCACCUGUGCAUCUCCUGAAGGCAAAAUGCUGAUCUGGUGUAAGUCUUGUCUGACUGUCUUUGAAGGAUGGCUACUAUAUUACAUUGAAAUAAAAGCAGUCUAGAUGAUCCUUUGCUGGAGCUGGCUGGACACAGCAGAAGAACUGUUAGAAAAAUUGCUUUUCUGAAUCCUUCUAGAGGUGAAGCACUGGGACCUGGAGGUAUUGAGUUGCCCAGGGUCACGUGGGUUGUGGCAAAGCUCCCUGGCAUAAAUGCAUUCUGACAGAUAUAAUACAUUUUCGAUCUCACAAAUCACGUUAUUCAAAGCACAGAAGGACCUGCAGCAGAGGUGAGCAGAGUAAGGAUGUGGAGAUCUUAUUACAGCCUAUGGGAGGAGAGUUUCGUUUAAGGACCUUGUAGGUAUGCUGGUUUGCAUCAGUUUGGUAGAAGUUGUUGGUUAUUGCAUGCUUCCCACUAUGGAGGGACCCUGAAGAAGCUGAAACUCUUCCACUGAACGAUGUGGUGUUGUCCUGAGAAAGGACACUGGAAAAUGGCCUAAGAUUGAGGAACCCAAAUUGGCUACCACUUGUCAACAUAACCAUUCAGUCUUCCUGUGGGGGAAAAUGUGGCCAAUAGAACCUUCUCACAGAAGUGUUACAGAGAGAAAGACAAACAUUUUCAGUGCCUUCAGGUGCGGGAGUGAUGGGCAUUGCAGGAAUGCCCGUUUGGAAAUGAAUCUUUCUGUCUGGGGGCAAAACUGGGAUAAUGCACAAAAAAAGUUGUCCUGAGGGUGAUGCAUGGAGAAGAAAGAACAAAAUCCAGAACUGUUGAAUACUGAGAGCUCUGUCCAGCCUCUGCACAACUUACUUUAGGCCUUAUGAGAAGAGAAAUGAGGGAGUGCAUAUUUGCAUUUCUUUUGCAGAGUGGAUAUGUGCAGAACAGCAGCUUUAAUCCUGUAACUUCCAAAGUGUUGAAUGCUUGACUUGGAGAUCUGAGUUACAGUUGUUUGAUGUAUUUAUUACUUUUUUUUUUUUUUUUUUUUUUUUUUGCAUCUCCUUACACAAACACAUGAGAUAGGCAGCAUAUAUUUACAUAGUGGAUUCAUGAAGUUUUGCUAAAUUACUGUGAAAGUAACACUUUUCAGAUCCCGUUCACUCAUUCUGGGCCCACAAAGUGAACAUCCUGCUUUGCACUUCUGCUGCUGCAGUUACAGGUUUCUCUUCAUUUCUCUCUUCCUGCAGCUUUGGCAGCUCUUUCCUGUUUUUAUAUAUUUCCAUCUUUCUCUUGAACUGCCAUUUAAAUGACCUUUCCCAUUCACCCUUAAAAUUCCACCCAACCGAAAAGGAGUCCUGCCUCCAGGCCUGUGACUGUGGCCUCUGUAUCCUUGGACAAUGGGACGGGAAGGAAAAAAAAGGGACAUUCCUGCAGGUCCUCGGUGUGUGGAUAACAAACAGGGCACAGGAGGCGAGCAUGUAAAUCAGAAAUCACUCCAUUAGUUUGUUAAGCAUUUUGGAGUGACACCACACACAUUAGGAGCUGGUGGCCACAAUGGAGGGAUCCCAGCCAUUUGAUAUUCAUGAGAUGGAAGAAGGUUUAAGAAGAGAAAAAGGAAGGGGGAGAGAGGGAUGUGGGCUUUCUAAUGUAAACACCAUUAUCAUUUGAAAAUCAAUUAGCUCCUUGCACUGAGGGAAUGAGGAGACUUAAGGCCCUUUCUGAACUGCUAUUGUGAGCCUGGGUUAUUUACUUUAAUUAAGAGGAGACAGAGUGGAUUAUUGUCUCAAACCAAAGAGUUGGGAAGAGUCAGAAAAUUACACUCUACCUCACUGCACAACAAAGCCGGGGUAAGAGACAGGCUCCAAACCCAGCAAAGUCAGAAAGAAAUUAGCCUUUAAUCUGGAUUUGUCCUACAUAAGGCACAAUCAAAAAGAAGCGAGGUUCGCAGCCUUCUUGCUAAGCACGGAUCUCGAUAUUGCAGUUGCUGUCACUGCCAGUGCUCCUGUUGAACUUUAACAUUUGGUCUGGAAGGGGCUUUUGCCCCUGGAAGGGUUAGAGUUUGAGAACAAACUCUAUUUUGUCCUAAAAUUUGACAGAAUGAAGUGUCAGGUGUUGGGCUGCAGUUCCUCCUGCCUGCUCCAACCCACCGAUGUAGAAAUAUUUUGCUUUAGAAACAAAUAUAUUAAAUUGUUGAUGCAAAGA